rnacentral:misc_RNA from 1 species
AAAUGCGAUAAGUAAUGUGAAUUGCAGAAUUCAGUGAAUCAUCGAAUCUUUGAACGCACCUUGCGCUCCUUGGUAUUCCUUGGAGCAUGCCUGUUUGAGUAUCAUGAAAUCUUCAAAGUAAAUCUUUUGUUAACUCAAUUGGUUUCUACUUUGGAAUUGGAGGUCUUUGCAGCUUCACACCUGCUCCUCUUUGUUCAUUAGCUGGAUCUCAGUGUUAUGCUUGGUUCCACUCGGCGUGAUAAGUUAUCUAUCGCUGAGGACACUGUAAAAGGUGGCCAAGGUAAAUGCAGAUGAACCGCUUCUAAUAGUCCAUUGACUUGGACAAUACUUUUAUGAUCUGAUCUCAAAUCAGGUAGGACUACCCGCUGAACUUAAGC